GGAUUAGUGGCGAACGGGUGAGUAACACGUGAGUAACCUGCCCUUGACUCUGGGAUAAGCCUGGGAAACUGGGUCUAAUACUGGAUAUGACCGACUAUCGCAUGGUGGUUGGUGGAAAGCUUUUGUGGUUUUGGAUGGACUCGCGGCCUAUCAGCUUGUUGGUGGGGUAAUGGCCUACCAAGGCGACGACGGGUAGCCGGCCUGAGAGGGUGGACGGCCACACUGGGACUGAGACACGGCCCAGACUCCUACGGGAGGCAGCAGUGGGGAAUAUUGCACAAUGGGCGCAAGCCUGAUGCAGCGACGCCGCGUGAGGGAUGAAGGCCUUCGGGUUGUAAACCUCUUUCAGUAGGGAAGAAGCGAAAGUGACGGUACCUGCAGAAGAAGCGCCGGCUAACUACGUGCCAGCAGCCGCGGUAAUACGUAGGGCGCAAGCGUUAUCCGGAAUUAUUGGGCGUAAAGAGCUCGUAGGCGGUUUGUCGCGUCUGCCGUGAAAGUCCGGGGCUUAACUCCGGAUCUGCGGUGGGUACGGGCAGACUUGAGUGAUGUAGGGGAGACUGGAAUUCCUGGUGUAGCGGUGAAAUGCGCAGAUAUCAGGAGGAACACCGAUGGCGAAGGCAGGUCUCUGGGCAUUAACUGACGCUGAGGAGCGAAAGCAUGGGGAGCGAACAGGAUUAGAUACCCUGGUAGUCCAUGCCGUAAACGUUGGGCACUAGGUGUGGGGGACAUUCCACGUUUUCCGCGCCGUAGCUAACGCAUUAAGUGCCCCGCCUGGGGAGUACGGCCGCAAGGCUAAAACUCAAAGGAAUUGACGGGGGCCCGCACAAGCGGCGGAGCAUGCGGAUUAAUUCGAUGCAACGCGAAGAACCUUACCAAGGCUUGACAUGAACCGGAACGGCGCAGAGAUGUGUCGGCCACUUGUGGCCGGUUUACAGGUGGUGC
rnacentral:rRNA from 1 species